GAUGAACGCUGGCGGCGUGCUUAACACAUGCAAGUCGAACGAUGAAGCUCAGCUUGCUGGGUGGAUUAGUGGCGAACGGGUGAGUAACACGUGAGUAACCUGCCCUUAACUCUGGGAUAAGCCUGGGAAACUAGGUCUAAUACCGGAUAGGGGCGCCUACCGCAUGGUGGGUGUUGGAAAAAUUUAUCGGUUUUGGAUGGACUCGCGGCCUAUCAGCUUGUUGGUGAGGUAAUGGCUCACCAAGGCGACGACGGGUAGCCGGCCUGAGAGGGUGACCGGCCACACUGGGACUGAGACACGGCCCAGACUCCUACGGGAGGCAGCAGUGGGGAAUAUUGCACAAUGGGCGAAAGCCUGAUGCAGCGACGCCGCGUGAGGGAUGACGGCCUUCGGGUUGUAAACCUCUUUCAGUAGGGAAGAAGCGAAAGUGACGGUACCUGCAGAAGAAGCACCGGCUAACUACGUG
rnacentral:rRNA from 1 species